UAUUCCCAUAAUCUUUUACAUAUCUUGUGAGUUUGAUUUGAAGUUCUAGCUGCUAGCUCUGCUACUUUUAUGUAUUAUAGUGACUAUUGAGAAAAACUAUUAAAACAAUCCUGAAGAAUUUUGAUAUUAUUUUGCAGGCUGAUGAACAUGAGUCGAGGUCUCUUGAAGAUAUAAAGGCAAAGGAACCAGAAUUUUUCUUCAGGGUAACAUCUGUGCUGAAACGAGCUGAACUGGAUUUCGGUUUUUGAUUUUCCCAAGCUUCAGAAUGCUGGAUUUUUGCAACUUGAAAGUUUUCUGAACCCCUUAGUUCGACUUGUGGGGAGUGAGGUUUCCCCAAUCGAUGCACGUUUAAAAUCACAUGACAAUCAACUUCAGUGCAGAAUUUUUAGGAUGAAGAAUGUUUCCAUAGAGGCUUGCUGCUAUUUGACGCUUUCAGAGUUAGAAACAGGUGGCAAUUAUAAGAAUAGCUUCAUCCAUUCUUCUGUACUUGGAAUUUGCCGGCUUCUUGUCCUUUUAAUCCCCUUCGGAUAUUUUCACACUCUAUUUCUACUGGUUUGGUUUUAUCAAUUACUUGUUCCAAUGCUGCUAUAUCUAUUUGCCAAGAUUUCGAAUACUUUCUUGAUGUAACGAAUUGUUGCCAGUGAAUGUUGAAAAGUAUAAGACAUUAUUGUUUUGAGGUAAGAAAGGAUAAACAAACCGGUAGUCUAUGUAUGAUUUGUUUUUUUAUGUAUAGUUGUUCUCUCUUUUAUGGGAUUGACUUGACAAAAGUUCAUAGGUCUUUAGUACCACAAUUUAUAUAAGCUUAUGUUGGUAUGAGAAUGUCAAUCUAUAAAGGGAUGUUAAAAGUUAAUAAGAAACAACUUUUAUUUCUAUUUCAGGACAGUGUUGUUAGACCUGAAGCAAAC
rnacentral:lncRNA from 1 species